UACUGACGCUCAUGCACGAAAGCGUGGGUAUCGAACAGGAUUAGAUACCCUGGUAGUCCACGCGGUAAACGAUGAUAACUAGUUAUCCGGCCAGAUUGAUGGUUGGGUGACCGAGCGAAAGCGUUAAGUUAUCCACCUGGGGAGUACGCCGGCAACGGUGAAACUCAAAGGAAUUGACGGGGGCCCGCACAAGCGGAGGAACAUGUGGUUUAAUUCGAUGAUACGCGAGGAACCUUACCCGGGCUCAAACGCAAGGCGCUACACCCUGAAAGGGGUGGUUCUUCGGACGUCUUGCGAGGUGCUGCAUGGUUGUCGUCAGCUCGUGCCGUGAGGUGUCGGCUUAAGUGCCAUAACGAGCGCAACCCCCAUCUUCAGUUGCCAUCGGUUAAAGCCGGGCACUCUGGAGAGACUGCCGGCGCAAGCUGUGAGGAAGGCGGGGAUGACGUCAAAUCAGCACGGCCCUUACGUCCGGGGCGACACACGUGUUACAAUGGCGGGGUCACAGCGGGAAGCCAGGCGGCGACGCCGAGCCGAUCCCGAAAACCCGUCUCGGUUCGGAUCGGAGUCUGCAACCCGACUCCGUGAAGCUGGAUUCGCUAGU
rnacentral:rRNA from 1 species